rnacentral:tRNA from 1 species
GCCCCAUUGGUGUAGAGGUAACACGCAUCUUUCGUAAUGAUGAAUCGAGAGUUCAAUUCUCUUGUGGGGCUC